rnacentral:rRNA from 1 species
AGAGUUUGAUCCUGGCUCAGAAUGAACGUUGGCGGUAUGGAUUAGGCAUGCAAGUCGAGCGAGAAGUUUUCCUGCUUGCAGGAAGGCGGACAGCGGCGCAAGGGAGAGUGACGCGUGGAUUAUUUACCCCCUGGUUCGGGAUAGCUGCGGGAAACUGCGGGUAAUACCGAAUAAAAUCUCCGGAUCAAAGGUGUGAUUCCGCCGGGGGAUGAGUCCGCGUCCUAUUAGCUUGUUGGUGGGGUAAUGGCCUACCAAGGCAAUGAUGGGUACCGGGCGUGAGAGCGUGGCCCGGCUCACUGGGACUGAGACACUGCCCAGACACCUACGGGUGGCUGCAGUCGAGAAUCUUCCGCAAUGGGCGAAAGCCUGACGGAGCAAUACCGCGUGCGGGAUGAAGGCCUUCGGGUUGUAAACCGCUGUCGAAGAGGAUGAAGUGCUAGAGGGUUAUCCCUCUAGUUUGACAUAUUCUUGGAGGAAGGACGGGCUAAGUUCGUGCCAGCAGCCGCGGUAAGACGAACCGUCCAAACGUUAUUCGGAAUUACUGGGCUUAAAGGGUGCGUAGGCGGCACGGCAAGUCAGAUGUGAAAUCCCUCGGCUCAACCGAGGAAUUGCGUUUGAAACUGCCGAGCUCGAGGGAGACAGAGGUGAGCGGAACUGAUGGUGGAGCGGUGAAAUGCGUUGAGAUCAUCAGGAACACCGGUGGCGAAGGCGGCUCACUGGGUCUCUUCUGACGCUGAGGCACGAAAGCUAGGGGAGCGAACGGGAUUAGAUACCCCGGUAGUCCUAGCUGUAAACGAUGAGCACUUGGUUGAAGACCCUCCCAUAGGUUUUCGGUCGAAGCGAAAGUGUUAAGUGCUCCGCCUGGGGAGUAUGUCCGCAAGGAUGAAACUCAAAGGAAUUGACGGGGGCUCACACAAGCGGUGGAGGAUGUGGCUUAAUUCGAGGCUACGCGAAGAACCUUAUCCUGGUCUUGACAUGUAUGGAUUAGCUCUGUGAAAGCAGAGUGACGCCUUCGGGUGGAACAUACACAGGUGCUGCAUGGCUGUCGUCAGCUCGUGUCGUGAGAUGUCGGGUUAAGUCCCUUAACGAGCGAAACCCUUAUCAUUAGUUGCCAGCGGAUCAUGCCGGGGACUCUAGUGAGACUGCCGGUGUUAAACCGGAGGAAGGUGGGGAUGACGUCAAGUCCUCAUGGCCUUUAUGACCAGGGCUGCACACGUCCUACAAUGGCACGUACAGAGGGACGCAAACUCGCGAGAGUAAGCAAAUCCCAAAAAACGUGCCUCAGUUCGGAUUGCAGGCUGAAACUCGCCUGCAUGAAGCCGGAAUCGCUAGUAAUCGCGGAUCAGCAUGCCGCGGUGAAUGUGUUCCUGAGCCUUGUACACACCGCCCGUCAAGCCACGAAAGUGGGGGGCGUCCGAAGUCGCCAAGCUAACCCGCAAGGGAGGCAGGCGCCGAAGAUGAACUCCGCGAUUGGGACUAAGUCGUAACAAGGUAGCC